rnacentral:rRNA from 1 species
CGGGCAUGAUGUAGCUUGCUACAUUACCUAUCGGCGGACGGGUGAGUAAUGCUUAGGAAUCUGCCUAUUAGUGGGGGACAACAUUCCGAAAGGAAUGCUAAUACCGCAUACGCCCUACGGGGGAAAGCAGGGGAUCUUCGGACCUUGCGCUAAUAGAUGAGCCUAAGUCAGAUUAGCUAGUUGGUGGGGUAAAGGCCUACCAAGGCAACGAUCUGUAGCGGGUCUGAGAGGAUGAUCCGCCACACUGGGACUGAGACACGGCCCAGACUCCUACGGGAGGCAGCAGUGGGGAAUAUUGGACAAUGGGCGAAAGCCUGAUCCAGCCAUGCCGCGUGUGUGAAGAAGGCCUUUUGGUUGUAAAGCACUUUAAGCGAGGAGGAGGCUACCUGGAUUAAUACUCUAGGAUAGUGGACGUUACUCGCAGAAUAAGCACCGGCUAACUCUGUGCCAGCAGCCGCGGUAAUACAGAGGGUGCGAGCGUUAAUCGGAUUUACU